rnacentral:misc_RNA from 1 species
AGGAAGUAAAAGUCGUAACAAGGUCUCCGUUGGUGAACCAGCGGAGGGAUCAUUACCGAGUUAUACAACUCAUCAACCCUGUGAACAUACCUAAACGUUGCCUCGGCGGGAACAGACGGCCCCGUGAAACGGGCCGCCCCCGCCAGAGGACCCCCUAACUCUGUUUCUAUAAUGUUUCUUCUGAGUAAAACAAGCAAAUAAAUUAAAACUUUCAACAACGGAUCUCUUGGCUCUGGCAUCGAUGAAGAACGCAGCGAAAUGCGAUAAGUAAUGUGAAUUGCAGAAUUCAGUGAAUCAUCGAAUCUUUGAACGCACAUUGCGCCCGCCAGUAUUCUGGCGGGCAUGCCUGUUCGAGCGUCAUUACAACCCUCAGGCCCCCGGGCCUGGCGUUGGGGAUCGGCGGAGCCCCCCGUGGGCACACGCCGUCCCCCAAAUACAGUGGCGGUCCCGCCGCAGCUUCCAUCGCGUAGUAGCUAACACCUCGCGACUGGAGAGCGGCGCGGCCACGCCGUAAAAC